UGACCAAAUCACGCCAGGCGUGGUCUUGGGGCUGGCAGCUCUGCCGCCCUCAAACGUAGUGGCAGCGCCGGGUGGCUCUUAGCGUAGUAAUACUCCUCGCUAUAGGGUCCGUCGGUCGCCCGCCAGCAACCCCCAAUCUUUCUA
rnacentral:misc_RNA from 1 species